rnacentral:rRNA from 1 species
CCUACGGGAGGCAGCAGUGAGGAAUAUUGGUCAAUGGACGAGAGUCUGAACCAGCCAAGUAGCGUGAAGGAUGACUGCCCUAUGGGUUGUAAACUUCUUUUAUAUGGGAAUAAAAUGUUCCACGUGUGGGAUUUUGUAUGUACCAUAUGAAUAAGGAUCGGCUAACUCCGUGCCAGCAGCCGCGGUAAUACGGAGGAUCCGAGUGUUAUCCGGAUUUCUUGGGGUUAAAGGGAGCGUAGGUGGAUUGUUAAGUCAGUUGUGAAAGUUUGCGGCUCAAACGUAAAAUUGCAGUUGAAACUGGCAGUCUUGAGUACAGUAGAGGUGGGCGGAAUUCGUGGGGUAGCGGUGAAAUGCUUAGAUAUCACGAAGAACUCCGAUUGCGAAGGCAGCUCACUGGACUGCAACUGACACUGAGGCUCGAAAGUGUGGGUAUCAAACAGGAUUAGAUACCCCUGUAGUC